UUCUCUUAAUUCUCGAAAGUAAUCCACUCCUAACCCAAAUCCAAACACUAACCUGCGUUUACUCGUGAAUUGCUUUGACUCUCAAAUGGAAUUAAACAAAAUUGCUUUGACCCAUUAAGGCUUCAAUACAUUGGAUUUGUUUUCCAUAUAUUCUCUGAUUUCUCGACAACAAUCCAGUCCUACAUACACAUGAUCCAUAUACCGUCUAAAUUACCCUAUUUUUGCUGAACAUUGCUCUGCAAAGGUGAGCAUUCCCGUCUCCUUCAAGUGUGUGUGAGUUCGAAUUCAAAAAUAGUAGAAGGGUCGAAUCGCAAAAUAGGAGGAGUUUCUUCUUCCAAAUUACGAUAAAAAAACAUCUUAUGAUAUUUUCUGAGUAGGAAAUCUCUUUCAUUCAAAGAAUCAUUCUGCUCGAUCAGUACAAACCGAGCUUCUCUCAGUGCAUUUGUAGUUCGGAUUAAAGAUCAGUGGGCGGUUCUUAAUUUUCCAAUUCAACUUCAAGGCUGCUACUCUGAUCAUGAUUUCUGGAUUCAUUUUUUGAGAAUGUAUGAAUUUCGUGCCUGAUUUUGUUGAGCUUUUGAAUUUCAUGGCGAGUUUUCGAGAAGGUGGUGAACUCCAGAGCUGAGUUUUCAACAAGGUUGCUACUCUGAUGUUGGAUACAUGCUUGCCAACAAAAAGAACCAUACUGGUGCCUGGCGGCUAGUGUGUGCAACUACUGUGCAAGUUAUCUGGCUAGUUUGUGCAACUACUGUGCAAGUUAUCUGGCUAGUGUGUGCAACUACUGUGCAAGUUAUCUGGCGUAAUUACUAGGAAUGGGGUAUUAUGCAAUUGUUUUGACUCUCAAAUGGAAUUAAACAAAAAGAUGAUCAUUCCCUUUCUCCUUCAAGUGUGGAAGAUGAUGCAGGAAUGGCAGUGAAAGCAAGCAGAAGUUUUGCAAAGGAUGUAUAGACUGCAGGGGACCAGCCUAGUGAGAGAAAUGUGAAUGGUCAUUGGUGCAACUCUUCUCUUGUUGCAGAUAGUGUUUCUGAUGAUGAUCAAAAUAUACACAAAGACUGCUUUGAUUAUGGUGUUCUGUCUCAUUAUCCUGAGAAACAGUUAAAGUCCUCAAUGGACCUGCUCCAAAAUAUAGGAAAGUACUCCGUAUCAGGGAAUGAGAAAGACAUACUGGAUCUAAGUUCCUUGGCAGCUUGUGGAUCUGGUGGUACCACUGGGCAGAAAGAUAGUUGCUUUGAAGUUCCAGUCAGUUCAGCGAAUACUCCAACCUUGAAGGGAAGAUCUGAGGCAGUCUUCAAUAAUUAAGAUUGCAAUACAACUUUGCUAAGCUAUGACAAAAAUUCAUCUGUAUAUCUUGAGGAAGAAGCAAAGGGUUUUGAUGUAAAAAUUCCCAAUCAGGAAAGGGCUUAUGUUGCAGAGGUCUGUUGCUUUUGAUUCGAGCAGUUCAGGCGAUGUGCUGGUGGAUAUUCACUCCCUGAAAACAAUGUCCAAAGAUGUAUCUUCCGACUCAAACACAUCAUUUAAAGGAAAGGCCCAGAAGAAUUCACAAAUGCUGUCUGAAAUGAAACUGACAAAUUUGGACCUGACAAAUUUGGUUCAACAUGAGAAAUUAUCUGUCUGAUUGCAAGACCAGAUUCUCCGGAAUAAAUAGAAAGGGACCCUGUGGUAAAAAUGGGUCAAAGAAAUUUAAGUUCUGUCUAGAGGAUGUGAUGAUCAUUUGAUUUCAGCUAUCAUAAAAAAACAAACAUCCAAAUCUGCAAACAACAGGCCCUUUGGUAAAUCCAAACCUCUGAGAAAGCAGAAGAGCAAAAAUGGUGGUUGCAGGUUACUUCUACGAAGCCUUAAUAGGGGUGGAAAGCACUUUGUAGAAGGGGCGUGGCCUUCCUUUGCUUUAAGAAAUGUAUUGUCAUGGUUAAUUCAUUUUGGGGUAGUUUCUGUUGGUGAAGUAAUCCAGUAUCGGAAUGUAAAAGAUGAUUCUGUUGUGAAAUCUGGCGUAAUCACUAGGAAUGGCAUACUAUGCAAUUGCUGUGGUGAAGUAUUAUCUCUCUCUAAGUUCAAGAGGCAUGCUGGUUUGAAGCUGAACAAGUCCUGUUUGAAUCUUUUCCUGGAAUCUGGUAAGUCAGUUGUGUUGUUAGCUAGCAUGUGCAACUACUGUGCAAUAAUAAAGGAAUGCGAAAAACAUAUUGGAUCUAAGUUCCUUGGCAGCUUGUGGAUCUGGUGGUACCUCUGGGCAGAAAGAUAGUUGGUUUGAAGUUUCGGUCAGUUCAGGGAAUACUCCAACCUUAAAGGGAAGAUCUGAGGCAGUCUUCAAUAAUCAAGAUUGCAAUACAACUUUGCUAAGCUGUGAAAAAAAUCCAUCUGCGUAUCUUGAGGAAGUAGCAAAGGGUUUUAAUGUAAAAAUUCCCAAUCAGGAAAGGGCUAUGUUGCAGAGGCCUGUUGCUUUUGAUUCGAGCAGUUCAGAUGAUGUGCUGGUGGAUCAGUCCCUGAAAACAAUGUCCAAAGUUGUAUCUUCUGACUCAAGCACAUCACUUAAAAGGAAGGCCCAGAAGAAAGCACAAAUGCUUUCUGAAAUGAAACUGACAAAUUUGGAUCAACAUGAGAAAUUAGCGUCUGAUUGCAAGUCCAGAUUCUCUGAAAUAAAUAGAAAGGGACCAUGUGGUAAUAGUGGGUCAGAGAAAUUUAAGAAGUUCUGUCUAGAGGAUGAUGAUCUUUUGAUUUCAGCUAUCAUAAAAAACCAAACAUCCAAAUCUGCAAAGAACAGGCCCUUUGGUAAAUCCAAACCUCUGAGAAAGCAGAAGAGCAAAAAAGGUGGUUGCAGGAUACUUCUACGAAGCCUUAAUAGGAGUGGAAAGCACUUUGUAGAAUGGGAGUGGCCUUCUUUUGCUUUAAGAAAUGUAUUGUCAAUUUGUCAUGGUUAAUUCAUUCUGGGGUUGUUUCUAUUUAUGAAGCAAUCCAGUAUCGGAAUCUAAAAGAGGCAUGAUUACUAGGAAUUACUAGGAAUGGAAUAUUAUGCAAUUGUUGUCGUGAAGUGCUAUCUAUCUCCAAGUUCAAGAGGCAUGCUGGUUUCAAGCUGAACCAUUCCUGUUUGAAUCUUUUCCUGGAAUCUGUUAAGUCAGCCGUGUUAGCUAGCAUGUGCAACUAUUGUGCAAAGAAUAUUUUGCGGGUUUACUCGGGUCUUCAUUACAACUGAAUCUGCUUCCUGAUGGUUUCUCCUGGACACUUUUGAGGUGCAACUCACUGCAACCCUUGUGUUCAACCUCUUUUUUGAGUACGUUUAUUAACUCUCAAAAUAAUUACAAGAAACUCUUAUCUGUUAUUAAGCAUCUGUUCUACCAUGCUAUUGAUAAAUUCAAUUUAUGAGAGUAAUUAAUUAUUUAGCCAA